UACGUAGGGGGCGAGCGUUGUCCGGAGUACUGGGCGUAAAGCGCACGCAGGCGGUCUGCUAAGUUUGGAGUGACAGUUGGUGGCUUAACUGCCAAAGUGCUUCGAAAACUGACAGACUUGAGGGCUUCAGAGGGACACGGAAUUCCGGGUGGAGUGGUGAAAUGCGUAGAGAUCCGGAGGAACACCGACGGCGUAGGCAGCGCCCUGGCUGUGAAUAAAGCUGACACUGAGGCACGAAAGCUGGGGGAGCAAACAGG
rnacentral:rRNA from 1 species